CGCUCGACUACUAAAAGUAUUUAUGUGUGCGAAUGCACUCAAUGAGUCCUUUUAGUAGUCGGGAGUGGCAAACGGGUGAGUAACGCGUAGGUAAUCUGCCCUGAAGUCGGGAAUAGCUCGCUGAAAAGCGGGGUAAUGUCUGAUGGUCCCAUAUCACUUCGGUGUUUAUGGGUAAAGCUCCGGCGCUUCAGGAGGAGCCUGCGUCCUAUCAGCUUGUUGGUGAGGUAAUAGCUCACCAAGGCGAAGACGGGUAGCUGGUGUGAGAGCAUGACCAGCCACAAUGGGACUGAGAACGGCCCAUACUCCUACGGGAGGCAGCAAUUAGGAAUCUUGCGCAAUGGGGGCAACCCUGACGCAGCGACACCGCGUGGGGGAGGAAGGCUCUUGGGUUGUAAACCCCUUUUCUCAAGGAAGAACACAAUGACGGUACUUGAGGAAUAAGCCUCGGCUAACUCCGUGCCAGCAGCCGCGGUAAUACGGAGGAGGCAAGCGUUAUCCGGAAUGAUUGGGCGUAAAGCGUCCGUAGGUGGCUGUUCAAGUCUGCUGUCAAAGACAGUGGCUUAACUACUGAAAGGCAGUGGAAACUGAACAGCUAGAGUACGGUAGGGGCAGAGGGAAUUCCCGGUGUAGCGGUGAAAUGCGUAGAUAUCGGGAAGAACACCGGUGGCGAAAGCGCUCUGCUGGGCCGUAACUGACACUGAGGGACGAAAGCUAGGGGAGCGAAUGGGAUUAGAUACCCCAGUAGUCCUAGCCGUAAACGAUGGAAACUAGGUGUAGCCUGUAUCGACCCGGGCUGUGCCGAAGCUAACGCGUUAAGUUUCCCGCCUGGGGAGUACGCACGCAAGUGUGAAACUCAAAGGAAUUGACGGGGGCCCGCACAAGCGGUGGAGUAUGUGGUUUAAUUCGAUGCAACGCGAAGAACCUUACCUGGGGCUAGAACGCAACGGGAAUCAC
rnacentral:rRNA from 1 species